rnacentral:rRNA from 1 species
UACGUAGGUGGCAAGCGUUGUCCGGAUUUACUGGGCGUAAAGAGCGCGCAGGCGUCGACCAAGUCGCGUGUGAAAGCCCCCGGCUCAACUGGGGAGGGUCACGCGAUACUGAUCGACUCGAAGGCAGGAGAGGGUAGUGGAAUUCCCGGUGUAGUGGUGAAAUGCGUAGAUAUCGGGAGGAACACCAGUGGCGAAGGCGACUACCUGGCCUGUUCUUGACGCUGAGGCGCGAAAGCUAGGGGAGCAAAC